ACAAAGAAAGAAAAUAAGCGAUCAAACGCGAACCGACCUUAACUGCGAGAGACGAUCCAUGGCGACAACCAAUAAAUUGUUGCUUCUUCUAGCCACUAUCCUUUUGGUGUCGUCCUCAGCCUUGGCGGUACUUCCUCCGUUGGACUGCUCGAAGGUGAUCUAUCACCGCAACUGCAAAACUCUCACAUGUAUGCGUGAUUGCUAUAGAAAGUAUGUCGGAGCAAAAGCACGGUGUGUCCCGACAGGAAGAGUCCACAGCGGAUGCAAGUGCGACUAUAAUUGCCAGACCCAAGUCCCAGCUAAACUGAAUUGGUGAUGAGCAAUGAUCUGAUGAUAUCUACAUGAUAAUUGUAGAAGAGAUUUGGAUGUGGGUGUAGUAAUCUUGUUACUCGUGUAGCAAGAUUGAUCGUUGUAAUAGAAAAUAAUAAAUGGUAAUCAGAUUUGCUA